CAGUUUGGGUAUCAUGUAAUCGAGCUUGUUCAUAUAAAAAUUUAUAAUAAAUUACCUAUAUGAACUUGUAAGGGAUUGAAGGAUCAGAUCCAUCUGCAAUUCCUUUUGUAUCUCGAGCCUGAGCUUUUCAAGCUCCUCAAUGACCUUGAUCACUAUCAUGCAGUAAUCAUGGACUGACUGUCCUUCAUGCAUCUUCAUAUUGAAAAAUCUUUGGCCACC
rnacentral:lncRNA from 1 species